ACUCCUACGGGAGGCAGCAGUGGGGAAUAUUGCACAAUGGGCGCAAGCCUGAUGCAGCCAUGCCGCGUGUAUGAAGAAGGCCUUCGGGUUGUAAAGUACUUUCAGCAGUGAGGAAGGUUCAUGCGUUAAUAGCGUAUGGAUUUGACGUUAGCUGCAGAAGAAGCACCGGCUAACUCCGUGCCAGCAGCCGCGGUAAUACGGAGGGUGCGAGCGUUAAUCGGAAUUACUGGGCGUAAAGCGCAUGCAGGUGGUUUGUUAAGUCAGAUGUGAAAGCCCGGGGCUCAAACCUCGGAAUUGCAUUUGAAACUGGCAGACUAGAGUACUGUAGAGGGGGGUAGAAUUUCAGGUGUAGCGGUAGAAAUGCGUAGAGAUCUGAAGGAAUACCGGUGGCGAAGGCGGCCCCCUGGACAGAUACUGACACUCAGAUAGCGAAAGCGUGGGGAAGCAAAACAGGAUUAGAUACCCUGGUAGGAUAGCG
rnacentral:rRNA from 1 species